CAGUCGACGAGCUUCCGUUGAUGACGUGCUUGCACUGAUUUNNNCAAUGAAGCGAGUGGCGAACUGGUGAGUAACACGUGGGAAAUCUGCCCAGAAGCAGGGGAUAACACUUGGAAACAGGUGCUAAUACCGUAUAACAACAAAAUCCGCAUGGAUUUUGUUUGAAAGGUGGCUUCGGCUAUCACUUCUGGAUGAUCCCGCGGCGUAUUAGUUAGUUGGUGAGGUAAAGGCCCACCAAGACGAUGAUACGUAGCCGACCUGAGAGGGUAAUCGGCCACAUUGGGACUGAGACACGGCCCAAACUCCUACGGGAGGCAGCAGUAGGGAAUCUUCCACAAUGGACGAAAGUCUGAUGGAGCAAUGCCGCGUGAGUGAAGAAGGGUUUCGGCUCGUAAAACUCUGUUGUUAAAGAAGAACACCUUUGAGAGUAACUGUUCAAGGGUUGACGGUAUUUAACCAGAAAGCCACGGCUAACUACGUGCCAGCAGCCGCGGUAAUACGUAGGUGGCAAGCGUUGUCCGGAUUUAUUGGGCGUAAAGCGAGCGCAGGCGGUUUUUUAAGUCUGAUGUGAAAGCCUUCGGCUUAACCGGAGAAGUGCAUCGGAAACUGGGAGACUUGAGUGCAGAAGAGGACAGUGGAACUCCAUGUGUAGCGGUGGAAUGCGUAGAUAUAUGGAAGAACACCAGUGGCGAANGCGGCUGUCUAGUCUGUAACUGACGCUGAGGCUCGAAAGCAUGGGUAGCGAACAGGAUUAGAUACCCUGGUAGUCCAUGCCGUAAACGAUGAGUGCUAAGUGUUGGAGGGUUUCCGCCCUUCAGUGCUGCAGCUAACGCAUUAAGCACUCCGCCUGGGGAGUACGACCGCANGGUUGAAACUCANGGAAUUGANGGGGCCCGCACAAGCGGUGGAGCAUGNNGGUUUAAUUCGAAGCUAC
rnacentral:rRNA from 2 species